UACGUAGGCAGCAAGCGUUGUUCGGAAUUACUGGGCGUAAAGAGUGUGUAGGCGGUGCUCUAAGUUUGGAGUGACAGUUGGUGGCUUAACUGCCAAAGUGCUUCGAAAACUGACAGACUUGAGGGCUUCAGAGGGACACGGAAUUCCGGGUGGAGUGGUGAAAUGCGUAGAGAUCCGGAGGAACACCAAAGGCGAAGGCAGUGUCCUGGGGAGUACCUGACGCUCAGGUGCGAAAGCCAGGGGAGCGAACGGG
rnacentral:rRNA from 1 species